rnacentral:tRNA from 1 species
GCCUCGGUAGCUCAGUUGGUAGAGCAGAGGACUGAAAAUCCUCGUGUCGCUGGUUCGAUUCCGGCCCGAGGCACCA